UACAGAGGCCUCGAGCGUUAGGCGGAAUCACUGGGCUUAAAGCGUGUGUAGGCGGACUUCUAAGUACCUUGUGAAAUCCCACGGCUCACCCGUGGAACUGCUUGGUAUACUGGUUGUCUUGAGCCUUCUAGGGGCGAGUGGAACAAAUGGUGGAGCGGGUGAAAUGCGUAGAUAUCAUUUGGAACGCCAAUGGUGAAAACAACUCGCUGGGGAAGUGCUGACGCUGAGACACGAAAGCCAGGGGAGCGAACGGG
rnacentral:rRNA from 1 species